GAGCGUUGUCCGGAUUUAUUGGGCGUAAAGAGCGUGUAGGCGGCUUGGUAGGUCUCGCGUCAAAACCUGAGGCUCAACCUCAGUUCGCGUGGGAAACCACCUAGCUAGAGUCCGGAAGAGGAGAACGGAAUUCCCAGUGUAGCGGUGAAAUGCGCAGAUAUUGGGAAGAACACCAGUGGCGAUGGCGGUUCUCUGGUACGGUACUGACGCUGAGACGCGAAAGCGUGGGGAGCGAGCAGG
rnacentral:rRNA from 1 species